UGGCCCUGAACCAUUGCCACGUCGGCUUGGUGGAAGGCGCGAAGAGAUACGAGGACGCGCGUGAAGUUUUACUCAAUCCCCAAUCCGGUAUGCGCAAUCCCUAGUUCCCCUCUUCCUUCUCCCCUGUUCGCCGCCAUGGCCGCCAGAUGAGUCUCGUCCUCCUCUGUUCUGUAGUUCCUUCCUUUUCCUGUGUGUCUCCAUGGCCGCCCCACCUACGUAAUUCCUGCUCCCUCGAUCCCCCAUUCUCCAGCGCCCUGGACGAGGACCGCCCUCGUCAUGGCUCAAUGGAGCAGCGGCUGCUUGUCUUGGAGUUCCUGUUUGACUCGUCGUCUAGCCGUAGCGGGCCGCCGAUCCCCUAUAGUUCUUGUUCAUCUCUUCCUGUUCUUCAGGUAAGAAGUGGAUGCUGGUUUCGUGAGAAAAGAAAAAUGGAUGUUGGUGUAUAGGUUAUCUUUUUACCCAGAAUAUGUACCGAUUAUUAUCAAUUUGCCAACACAAUUGAUUCUUUGAUUCACUUGCUGUUGCUAUUGCACGUAGCUUAGCAUCAGACUGAAUUUUUAGUAUAGCCAAGACAACUUCAGAGCUCCAAUCUGAAUAUCGUUGUGAAGUAAUACUCGCAAGUUAAUAUAAAUUUCUCAUUCACCCAGUUAAUUUCGCAUUCCUAACCUAUUCUAUUAUAUAUUUUGGGACAUGCUAAUGACUUAAUUUUGUAUUGGUGCAUAUGAAUUUUUUCUGACUUCGAUCGGAGGCUCUAAGCACCAAACUUGCAGGAGGCACUACAUUUGCGAACGACGACACCAGAGGAAUGAACAACUUCAUCAUCUUAUAAGAGCAUUGGAGCAAGAGAGAGCAAUGCACAAGAAAGAGCAUGAUAGAUCAAUGUUGCAGUUGCAUCAGAGAUUGUCAGCUGUAUAUGAAGAUAUGAAAGUGAAGAAAAAAAAGGGACAUGUGCCUUUAUCAUGAUAUUGUGGGUUGUUUCUUUAGUUUUAGAUUUUGUUGCUGGUAUGGUCGUCUCAGUCUAGUUGAGAAGAGAGAAUUCAGAUAAUGCAAUUUUUUAAGGGAAUGUACUUGUAGCUCUGCAAUCUGUUGCAUACGCAAGGAUAUAUGUAAUCUGAAAGCAAGCUUUUCUUGCUGUCAUGAAUGAAAGCUUUUAUUAACUGAAAGUACUAUGUUAUUGCAACUAUCAUGGUUGCAAAUUUGCAGCAUUUUGUUUACAUUCAGCAUCACUCUUACAAAUUGGCAAUAGCAUAAUUAAGAAACAAGACAUGCCCAGAAUUCUCUGUACAGUUUCAGCUUAACUUCAAAGGAACACAUUUUUCUGAACGCAAUAAGGAACAUAUCACAGAAUACCCAGUCAUGCCCCACAUCAGAAAACAGUACAUGUAUCAGAUAAUAGGGAAGAAGUACUAGCUUUACAUAAUAUAGCAUGAACCAGAAAAUGCAUAACAGUCAACCAUGCACCACAAGUUUAUUUAUAUCUCAUUGUAGCUAAAUAACUAGAAGUUUAGUUAUUGCCAUGUAACCACCACUGGAAUCUUGAUUGGUUUGGCAUUGGCUGAG